UUCAUUCUUGUGUUGGUCUCUCCUCUCUGUUACGUCUCUCUACGCUGUUGAUGGACGAUUCUUCUAAACGCACGCGUCUUUGAGAUUUUCUGAAUCGAUCAUCGUCGUUCCUACUUCUGGGUUUUCACUUUUCAUUGAUGAUUGAUAUUUUCUAGGGUUUGGUUCCUAAAAUUGCAUCGGUGGAUUUACUUUUUUUCGCUCUGUUAUUUUUAGAUUGUGGAUCGAUGCUUUGAUCAGUCGGUGAUGGAUGGUUUCGAUGGUGUUCUUCCUCUGGUUUUUGUUUUAUUUUUUCGUAGCGAAUUAUGAUCCGAUGAUCAUCGCUUUCGAUUCCUGAAACUUUCAACUCCUAGGCCUAGUGUUAUGAUUUCUAAAUUGAUUUUGUCUUCUCGUUAUGUUUUUUUUUGGUAGAUUGUGUAUGAUUCUAUGAUCCGCCGUGAUAUAAAUUUUUGGAUCCUUUGUCACGCGUUUUCUCUACGCUAAGUCUUCAAUCGUAUUUUGAUCCGAUUCGUUCUCGCUUCUGAAUUUUCCACUUUUUCUAAUUCAUGUUGUUGAUGAUUUAGAUUGUGGAUGAUAAUACUAUUGUUCGAUUGGUGAUUGAGGAGAAGUCUUAGAUCGAUCGGUGAUGUUUUGAUUGAUCCUUGUCACGCUGUUGGAUAUUGUUCCUCCUUCCUCAAUUCUUAGUUCCUAAACCUUUUUUUUGUUUUGUUUCUUUCCUCUUCUUCGUUUCUAGAUAAGCGACAUCUCUCUCUCUCUCUUUCUCUCUCUUUCUCUCUUUGAUGCAGAUCGUGGAGGCAACGGGAUUGCUCUGUUGAAUCUUUUUUUCUCACCUGUCUUUUGGUUUCUUCUGUUUUCUCGUGCUUUUGAACUUACUUGUUAUAAUCACGAUUUCCUCUGUUCUAUUCCGUCUCAGUUGAUCUUGGAAGGAUGUGUCGUCGCUCCCUGAUGUGUUACUUCGUGGGCGGUUUUCUAUUUACCUUUGUUUCCUUUUCAGGGUUGUUAUAUUACUCUUGUUUUCCCUCUGAUUUUUGUUGGUGAACUUUUUGGUUUAGAUCUUUGAGGUUGAAGGCAUUGUCAAGGGAAGGAUGGCUUGCGUUUAUUUUCGUGUUUCUGGUUACUUCGCAUCUAUACUACACCUUUCUGCUAUUGGUUGAUUUAUUUAAUUUUGAAUAUUGUUGGUUCUGUCCUCUGUUUGUCUUAAUUUGUUUUCCAGAUUUUCUACAUCAACGCCUCUCUGAUUCUCUGCUGCCUACACACAUUCAUUCAUAUGAAAGAUGAUCUUAAAAUUCCCUACACACAUAUACAUUCAUAUUCUUUGUGCUUUUUUUUUGUAACUAGUUUUUGAAUGCUUAUAUGUCUUUUAGGCCUGCUAAGUCUGAGCUCUCUGAUCCAGAAGGUUUGACAUGUGAUUUAUUGAGGUUUUCGUUCCUCUUUCCCUUGGGUAUAUUUCUGUAAUCUGUUUGAUUUCAUAUACUACCUUGAUUUUGAAUUUUUGUUUCCUGAGUUAUAGACUGCGCCACUUGGGAUUCUUCAAGAUCAUUUGGAUUUGUUAUUGGAUGUUUCAGGUUAACAGUAGUGUCGCGUAGUGAUGCUGGCAUUUAUGUGUUAUGCUUAAGACCCCUUCUUUUGAUAUAGGUAGUGGAGGUUCUAAAAGAGAGAAACGUCAGGCUACUUACUGGUUUCGUUCCGUUGUCUUAUAUGUUUAGUGUUUGAUCAUUCUCUCAUAUGCAUGUGACGGUGUUUUUUUUUUUUAAGUGAAAUGUUCCCUUCUUUAUAGGUGUAUAUUUUGAGCUUGAAAGAUGUCUUUGAUCUUGUGCUUCCCUAUUACCUCUCUGGCGGUUCCUUAUCCCCCUUUGUUUUUAAUGGUCUCUUAUUUCUCUGUUACUUUGUUUUUUUUGGAUAAGGAUGUGUUGCAUAUAAUAUCGUAUUUCUGGUUCCUUCGCAUCUAUGCACACCUAUUUCCCUGUGGAUUGUUUAAUUCUAUAAUCGUUAUUGUUGGUGAGAUAUGAAUUGUCCUCUUGUUUCUGUGUUUCCCAGAUUUUCUUCACCAAUAACUUCAUUCCAUUUCGUAAUUCACACACUCAGACUAAAGAUGAGCAUAGAUCAUAGAUUCCUCCCAAACGAGUUUCUGGUUCCUUCGCAUAUAUACUCCUUUUUACAAUUGGUUGAUUUAUUUAAUUUUAGUUAUUUUUGGUUAGGUUUGAUCUGCCCUCUGUGUCUUAUUGUGUUUUUUCAGAUUUUCUACAUCAAUCGCUUCUCUGUUUCUCUGCUGUAACACACAUUUAUAUGAAAGAUGAUCUUAAAUUCCCUUCCAAACGAGUUUGUUCAUAUACUUUAUCCUUUUUCAAUAGUUUUCUUAUUGAAUGUUAUUCUGUAUUUUAGCUCUGCUAAUUCUGACCUCCCUGAUACAGAAGGCUGGACCUGCAUUAACAGUAAUGUCUGUUUCAUCUCCCUAGUGAUAUUGGCAUUUAUGUUUUAUACUAAGUGUCUGUCUUCUGUUAUAGGUAGUGAGGUUCUAAAGGAGAAAAACUGGUUCUUUUCCCCUUUAUUUAUGUUCGUAUUAUCUCUCAUUCUACAUAUAUGUUAUGUGUUUGAUCAUACUCUCGUAUGCUUUUGACGGUGUUUUAUAUGUGAAAUGCUCCGCUUCGUUAUAGGUAUAUUGCGCUUGAAAGAUGUCUUUGAUCUCGUUGUUCCCUGUUACCUCUCUGGCGGUUUUUAUCCCCCUUUGUUUUAUUUUUAGGGUAUCUUAUUUCCCAAUUACUUGAUGUUUUUUCUUUUCUUAUUUUUGGAGAAUUUUCGAUUUAGAUCGUAGAAGUUCAAGUCAUUUUGGGAGAGAAGGAUGGGUGCCGUAUAAUAAUAUCGUGUUUCUGGUUCUUUCACAUCUAUACACCUUUUUACCUAUAGAUUGUUUUAUUUAAAAUUGGGUAUUAUUCGUGAGGUAUGAUUUUCCCCCUUUGUCUGUGUUUCCCAGUUUUUCUUUCACAACUCACUUUAUUAUAUGUCCGUAUACAAACUCAGAUUAAAGAUGAUCAUAGAGUCCUCCCAAACGAGUUUCUGGUUACUUAUUAUAUAUAAACUUUUCUGCUAUUGGUUGAUUUAUUUAAUUUUGGUUAUUGUUGGUUAGGUUUGAUAUGUCCUCUGUGUCUUAUUCUGUUUUCCAGAUUUUCUACAUCAAUCAUUCUCUGUUCCUCUGCUGUUUGCACACAUUCAUAUGAAAGAUGCUCUUAAAUUCCCUUCCGAACGAGUUUGUUCUAAUACUUUUGCUUUGUAAGUAGAUUUUGUUUUGAUUGUCUUUUAUUUCUGCUAAAAGUCUGAGCUCUCUGAUGCAGAAGGGUGGACCUGUGUUUAUUUAGGAUUUCCUUCUUCUCUCCCUUGAGUAUAUAUCAGCAUUCUGUUUCCAUAGAGUUUGUUAUUGGAUGUUUCAGGUUAGAAGUAACGUCUGCUGUUAUUGGAUUACCCUGUAUUUCUGCAUCGGGAGUUUCGCUAAUUACGUUUACAGCUUGCCGGGAGAAUUUGGUGCUUCCAUCUGUCGUUGAUUCAGGUUUUAGUUGAUGGAUUUAGUUUUUGAAUUGAACAGCGUCCAGUCUGAGCUCCUCUUAUGCAGAAAGCUAGACAUGUUGGUAGUCAGGUUUUCGUUCUUCUUUCCUUCUUAGAUCUUCUGCAAUCUUUUGAUUCACAAUUCCUGGAUUUUGAAGUGUGUUUCGCUUACUGAGCCAUGGACUGUGACAGUGGGGAGUUUCUUUUGGCUUUUUGGUGUGUUGAGGAUUCGAAGGAGCCCGACUCCCUUUUGAUUUUUUUGACAUCGAAGGUUGAAUUUGCAGUAGGUUUUUAACCUCUGGUGUGUUUUGCCUUUUUCUGUUUUGAUGACCACUAUAUUUGAUGAAGACGUGCUCAGAUAUCUUCCCCUCCUUAUCUGCUUGUGCUUGUAGUUUGCUGCAUGUUUUCUAUAGUUGGUACUAAUCGCUUCUACUUGAGAUGAAGUCAUUAUCGUUGCAUCCGGGUUUGAUUUUGCAAAGUGGUAGUUCUGUUUUGGCCUGCUUGCCUACACUCGUAUCUGUACAUCAUGAAUUUGUGAAGUAGAUUCAGGUCAGAUGUUAUGAGUUCUUUGGCAUCUGAUUAUCGCAUCUCUGUUGAUUUGUGAAUUACUUCUGACUGUUGUAGUUUACUGGGUAUUCAAGAAAAGGGAGCUUCAACCUCCAUACUAAUUGACGGGUUCCCAUCCUUUCUUCCUUGUUUCUGCUUUUACGAGGCUAUUUAUUUUCUCAGAGUUGAUGCUAUUAAUUUUGAUUUCAUAGUCUUUUGCUUCUCUCUGAGUGGAAAUGUGCUACAGAUUUUGAGGAUCCAGUAUAUUAACCUAUGAGUUGGGUCUCUUCUCCAGCAAGACAAGGUAACAUCGAAGGUUCUUUCAGUAUCACUCAUCGGUUUUGUAUAAGACCUUUUUGUUUUGGUGACUCUUCUAUUUCAUGGUCUCUGCCUCUGGGGAUUAGUUGUGCAGGAUGGUUGAAGCUCUGUAGGUUGACUUCUCUGAAGGUGUGGUUACCAUACUUGUUCUAUGGAUUUUAGUCUUCUGUACUUUUGAUGAUGAUUCUCAGUUUCGCAGCAAUAUCUGGUUAAUGUUCGGAAUUUUUGAAGAUUUUCAGCUUUUUUAUUGUACACUACGUGGAUUUUAGGUUUCAUCAGAUACCUCAGUAUUUUUGUCAUGAAAAGGCUAGUCUGCCAGAAUGAGUUGUUUAGUUAAUUUCUAGGUACUUACACAGGACAUUAGAUUUCUUGGUAUUGUCAGAAUUUGGUUGGAAUGAAUCUUGUGAUUCUGGGGAACACGUGCAAAUAUUUUUGAGGAGUUGUGGUCCUCGUAUCCUCUUCAGUUUGUUAUUUUGAUGUCAUAGGCUCAUAGAAGGUGAAGAGCAUCUUGGUUUUGAUGAUAAUGGUCUUUACGUCUGACAUCUGACAUUUGAUGAUGAAGUCAACAAUUGAUUUUGUUUUGGUGAUACAUAAUGUUGUUGGAUUUCAGGUGAGGCUUAAUUUUAUGGAAUCUUCUUACGAAUGAUCUCAGGUGGUUAGUGUAAACUGAAAACAUCACCUCCCUACUUCUGGUAAAGAUGUUGAUUACUAAUGUUGUUAGAUUGUUACCUCCAAAUCCUAGAUCCUUUCUUCCUUGGACGUAUUGGCUUGCAGGUCAAAACUUUCUGUCUAUCAAGAUAAUGUACCUCCAUUCUGGUUACUUUUAGUCAACGAUUGGGGAAGUGAUGUUUUCUCAAUUCUCAUCAUCUCUUGAACCUUAAUUGCUCUGUCACACAUUGAAGCCUAUGUUGGGUUUGCAGUUUGUGAAGUUUCCAUGGGAAGGUCUUUGAUGUUCACUGAAGUUGAUUUUAUUCCUGAAGAAGGAUGUGUUUCCUAUAUGUUAAGAAAACGCAACGUAAUGAUGGAAGCUUUUUGUUCUUCUGAAUUAUGACGUGUUGCCAUACCAACUGUUUGGUAAAGUACUUGUGAGAGAUAUUUUUCCUGUAAGUGAGUGAUAUGUUUUGCUGGAAGGGGCUAUACAAGAAGACACGACUCCGAGAGGCUUACAAGCUUCGACACAGGAUGAAGUUAAAAGAUCUCAGGCCUUUAUCUUGUGCUGUGGAUUGCUUUUGUUCAAAGAAUGGAGUAUGCUAUUAGGAUCGCCUAGAUCAGUCAUGGGACCUUUGGUGUGGUUGCUUUGACUUGCCUCUACAAUUGCGAAAAUGAUGAUUUCUCAUUGCUCGGAACUUAAGAGGAUCUUCAUUUUGAUGCGGUUGUUAUUACACAUUGAAGCCCACGCUAGUGUUGCAGUUUCUGAAUUAUUCAUGGGAAGCACUGUGAUUGGAGUAGACUGAAAUUGAUUGAAGUUUGUUAAUAGUGAAUUUGUACAGUUAUGUGCUUUUGUAUAUUAUCUAUUCUCCGAGUGAACUGAAGUCCGAAGAAUGGCUUGAAAGCCACUAUCUCGCAAAAGUUGAUCAAAAAUGCCACCUUUCUAUUUUUUAUUUCA